CACGUAGGCACCAAGCGUUGUCCGGAUUUAUUGGGCGUAAAGAGCUCGUAGGCGGUUCAGUAAGUCAGGUGUGAAAACUUUGGGCUUAACCCAAAGCGUGCAUUUGAUACUGCUGUGACUUGAGUUCGGUAGGGGAGUGGGGAAUUCCUAGUGUAGCGGUGAAAUGCGCAGAUAUUAGGAGGAACACCGGUGGCGAAGGCGCCACUCUGGGCCGAAACUGACGCUGAGGAGCGAAAGCGUGGGGAGCAAACAGG
rnacentral:rRNA from 1 species